rnacentral:misc_RNA from 1 species
UCAAUUCUUUUCCGAAAGUUGUCGAAUUUUCGGAAUUUUCUCUCGAAUCACCAAGUGUCUUCCUCUGCUGGCCGUUCAUCAAACUUCAUGACUGAGACCGACGCCAUUGGACGCCACUAAACCCAUUGUAAACUCGCAACGACGCUCGCAACAAAACAUUUUCAAUUUCCGAACGUUGUGGAGUUUCGGUGUUGAAUUUAUUUUUAAUAAACAACGAAAUUCGGGAAAGUCGAUAUAUAUCUUAAACAAUUUCAUCAUUUCACUGACUUUCGUGCAAUUUUUUCAGUGGUGCUGGUUCUUGAAUCCGGAACUCGGAAAUAAAAUAAGUGAAAUGAUUAUUCCAAUUAAGAGGAGUGGGUAAUAAUCGAGUUACAAGGCGAUCUGUCACAUUCAAGCGGUAACAUCGAAAACAGCAGCUUCAUCGGUGAUCUUCACUUUACGAAAGAAGGCACUCCUAUCUUAAUAAUAGGAGUUCACGUGUUGUCUGGAAAAG